GAAAUGCGAUAAGUAGUGUGAAUUGCAGAAUUCAGUGAAUCAUCGAAUCCUUGAACGCACAUUGCGCCCCUUGGUAUUCCAUGGGGCAUGCCUGUUCGAGCGUCAUCUACACCCUCAAGCUCUGCUUGGUGUUGGGCGUCUUUGUCCCGCCUCCGCGCGCGGACUCGCCCCAAAUUCAUUGGCAGCGGUCCUUGCCUCCUCUCGCGCAGCACAUUGCGCUUCUCGAGGUGUUGCGGCCCGCGUCCAGAAAGCAAUCGUUACCGUCUUUGACCUCGGAUCAGGUAGGGAUACCCGCUGAACUUAAGC
rnacentral:misc_RNA from 1 species